CUGUAAGCCUGUGAAGGUAUACUGUGAGGUAUGCUGGAGGUAUCAGAAGUGCGAAUGCUGACAUAAGUAACGAUAAAGCGGGUGAAAAGCCCGCUCGCCGGAAGACCAAGGGUUCCUGUCCAACGUUAAUCGGGGCAGGGUGAGUCGACCCCUAAGGCGAGGCCGAAAGGCGUAGUCGAUGGGAAACAGGUUAAUAUUCCUGUACUUGGUGUUACUGCGAAGGGGGGACGGAGAAGGCUAUGUUGGCCGGGCGACGGUUGUCCCGGUUUAAGCGUGUAGGCUGGUUUUCCAGGCAAAUCCGGAAAAUCAAGGCUGAGGCGUGAUGACGAGGCACUACGGUGCUGAAGCAACAAAUGCCCUGCUUCCAGGAAAAGCCUCUAAGCAUCAGGUAACAUCAAAUCGUACCCCAAACCGACACAGGUGGUCAGGUAGAGAAUACCAAGGCGCUUGAGAGAACUCGGGUGAAGGAACUAGGCAAAAUGGUGCCGUAACUUCGGGAGAAGGCACGCUGAUAUGUAGGUGAAGUCCCUCGCGGAUGGAGCUGAAAUCAGUCGAAGAUACCAGCUGGCUGCAACUGUUUAUUAAAAACACAGCACUGUGCAAACACGAAAGUGGACGUAUACGGUGUGACGCCUGCCCGGUGCCGGA
rnacentral:rRNA from 1 species